rnacentral:lncRNA from 1 species
UAAUACUGAAUAUUAUUAUAAAAUUUUUAUGGAUUAUAUAUAUAUUUUUUAUUAUAAUUAUUUAUAAUACAUUAUAAAUAAAAUGUAUUAUUUAUUUGUUUGUUUGUUUGUCUGUUGAGUUAAUAAAUGGCAUUGGUCAGUUUAAUCGUGGAAUUAACCAAUGAACUUUCCAUUUUGUUUUAAGACACACCCCUUGCCAGCAUCAUUGGACAGUAUGACAGAACAUGUCAUCAUGAAACCAGGAACUUUGUAUAAUACAAGCACCAAACAAACAUGCAUUCCCUCAUCUGCCGAACACAACAACAGAAAGUGUCUCUUUUAGAACCCCACCACUCGACGACAAAGGAAACUGUGCAGGGGAUGGAGACUUAACCAUGUCAGCGAGACAGAGAGAAGGAGAAAAGAGGGAGAAGAGGAGAUAAA